GAUGAACGCUGGCGGCGUGCUUAACACAUGCAAGUCGAACGAUGAAGCCCAGCUUGCUGGGUGGAUUAGUGGCGAACGGGUGAGUAACACGUGAGUAACCUGCCCUUAACUCUGGGAUAAGCCUGGGAAACUGGGUCUAAUACCGGAUAGGAGCGCCUACCGCAUGGUGGGUGUUGGAAAGAUUUAUCGGUUUUGGAUGGACUCGCGGCCUAUCAGCUUGUUGGUGAGGUAAUGGCUCACCAAGGCGACGACGGGUAGCCGGCCUGAGAGGGUGACCGGCCACACUGGGACUGAGACACGGCCCAGACUCCUACGGGAGGCAGCAGGGGGGAAUAUUGCACAAUGGGCGAAAGCCUGAUGCAGCGACGCCGCGUGAGGGAUGACGGCCUUCGGGUUGUAAACCGCUUUCAGUAGGGAAGAAGCGAAAGUGACGGUACCUGCAGAAGAAGCACCGGCUAACUACGUG
rnacentral:rRNA from 1 species